UACAGAGGGGGCAAGCGUUGUUCGGAAUUACUGGGCGUAAAGGGCGCGUAGGCGGCCUGUUAAGUCGAACGUGAAAUCCCCGGGCUCAACCCGGGAACUGCGUCCGAUACUGGCAGGCUUGAAUUCGGGAGAGGGAUGCGGAAUUCCAGGUGUAGCGGUGAAAUGCGUAGAUAUCAGGAGGAACACCGGUGGCGAAGGCGGAUCUCUGGGCCAUUACUGACGCUGAGGAGCGAAAGCGUGGGGAGCGAACAGG
rnacentral:rRNA from 1 species